rnacentral:lncRNA from 10 species
CUGGGCUUCAUGGUAAGCCCGGGCUCCUAGGCCUGUGAGGCGCUGGGGCUCUGGCCAGCCUGUAGCCUUCAGUGGGGUGGGUCUGCACAAUGGAGCCUCUGCCAUGGCCUUCCCUUCCCUCCUUCCUUGCAGUUAACCUACAUUUGGUGUCUCCUGGCUUUGCCCUUCAUUUCUCCUGCUCACGGUGCCAGCCUCUGAGAACAGGCUGCUGGGCCGUCCCAGUCCCUCCUGCCCCUCCCCCUUACUUGAAGCCAGAGGUCAUGGAGCUGAAGCACCAGGCCAUGGAGGAGGGUCAUGGGAGAGAGAAGGGAACUGUCCAAAGGGGGUGAAGGAGAAGGGGGGGACACCUGGUUGGGGCAGGUGACUGUCAAGAAGACUUUCCAGAAGUCUGGCUAGGAGGCACGGUCCUGUGAGCAAGAGGGUGUAGCUGGAGGGGGCUCCAGUCUGCCUGUCCCUCCCCCACCUUGGCUGUGUCCCCAGCCUUCCUCCCGGUGGCCCAGCCCAGCCCGGCCCUCGCAGUCAGUGAGUUCCUCCUGAGCCAGUUCUGACAGGGACCUGUCCUCCAGGUCAGGGGGUGUUCCAUGUGGCUUGGUUCUGUGGGGUCCAGUCUGCCCAGCCAGCGGCCCUGGGGCUUGACUGUGGUUGGCGGCCCUUGAUCCACGGCACCCACCACUUGUGUGUUUCAAGGGGCUUUUUCUCACCAAAUGAGUGUCCCAUGGUUGCCAUAAGAAAUGACUAUGGACCCUGAGGCUUCAAACAGCAGCAAUCUCUUCCCUCACAGCUCUGGAAGCCAGAAGUCUGAGAUCCAGGUGUGCGCAGGGCCGAGUCUCUAGGGGGGAUCCUUCCUGCUU